rnacentral:rRNA from 1 species
GAUGAACGCUGGCGGCGUGCCUAAUACAUGCAAGUCGAGCGAACAGACGAGGAGCUUGCUCCUCUGACGUUAGCGGCGGACGGGUGAGUAACACGUGGAUAACCUACCUAUAAGACUGGGAUAACUUCGGGAAACCGGAGCUAAUACCGGAUAAUAUAUUGAACCGCAUGGUUCAAUAGUGAAAGACGGUUUUGCUGUCACUUAUAGAUGGAUCCGCGCCGCAUUAGCUAGUUGGUAAGGUAACGGCUUACCAAGGCAACGAUGCGUAGCCGACCUGAGAGGGUGAUCGGCCACACUGGAACUGAGACACGGUCCAGACUCCUACGGGUGGCAGCAGUAGGGAAUCUUCCGCAAUGGGCGAAAGCUUGACGGGGCAACGCCGCGUGAGUGAUGAAGGUCUUCGGAUCGUAAAACUCUGUUAUUAGGGAAGAACAAAUGUGUAAGUAACUAUGCACGUCUUGACGGUACCUAAUCAGAAAGCCACGGCUAACUACGUG